rnacentral:rRNA from 1 species
GACGAACGCUGGCGGCGUGCUUAACACAUGCAAGUCGAACGAUGAAGCCGGAGCUUGCUCUGGUGAAUUAGUGGCGAACGGGUGAGUAACACGUGAGUAACCUGCCCUUGACUCUGGGAUAACUGCUAGAAAUGGUAGCUAAUACCGGAUACGACCCUCGGAGGCAUCUUCAGGGGGUGGAAAGAAUUUGGGUCAAGGAUGGACUCGCGGCCUAUCAGCUAGUUGGUGAGGUAAUGGCUCACCAAGGCGACGACGGGUAGCCGGCCUGAGAGGGUGACCGGCCACACUGGGACUGAGACACGGCCCAGACUCCUACGGGAGGCAGCAGUGGGGAAUAUUGCACAAUGGGCGCAAGCCUGAUGCAGCAACGCCGCGUGAGGGAUGACGGCCUUCGGGUUGUAAACCUCUUUUAGUAGGGAAGAAGCGAAAGUGACGGUACCUGCAGAAAGAGCACCGGCUAACUACGUGCCAGCCGCCGCUGUAA